GAUUCGGCCGUGCAGGUUUUCACUUUUGGGUCCGGCGAAGAGGUAAAACCAUGUGCACCUGGAUUCUCAGAAGAACCUUACUUCCUCAAAGCAGAUCAAAAAUAUUUGGACAAGGGAAGGACAAUAGGGAAAGUCCUAUAUGAUGACUGCAGUGGGCGCCAGAGGUUCCUCUUUAACUCAGCAGAUUCCCAUUUUGAGGUGGAAUCAGAUGGGACCGUCUUAAUAAAAAGGCCCGUGACCUUACAUGAAGGGCACAAGAGCUUCGUUGUUCAUGCCUGGGACUCAGUGGGCAAGAAGGUCACUGCAAGAGUCACGGUGCAGCUUGAGCCACAGACCAGCCAUGUGGUUCUUGGUGUGGAAAAUGUCCCAGCUGAACAGUCUGAGGACAGUGAGUCUGUCCCAGUGCUGGAGUUUCCAUGGUCCUUGGCUGGUCUCAAAAGAAGGAAGAGACAGUGGAUCAUUCCUCCAAUCACAAUUCUUGAAGGUGACAUGGGUCCCUUU